AGAGUUUGAUCAUGGCUCAGAAUGAACGCUGGCGGCGUGCUUAACACAUGCAAGUCGAGCGAGGCCAGGGGGGCAACUCCCUGAGUCGAGCGGCGGACGGGUGAGUAACACGUGGGUAACCUACCCGGAAGUGGGGAAUACCUCGGGGAAACUCGAGCUAAUACCGCAUGACAUCUUUGGGACGAAAGUCCUGACGAUCAAAGCGGGGUCGCAAGAUCUCGCGCUACCGGAUGGGCCCGCGCCCGAUUAGCUAGUUGGUGAGGUAACGGCUCACCAAGGCGACGAUCGGUAACCGGCCUGAGAGGGCGAUCGGUCACACCGGAACUGAGACACGGUCCGGACUCCUACGGGAGGCAGCAGUGGGGAAUCUUGCGCAAUGGGCGAAAGCCUGACGCAGCAACGCCGCGUGGAGGAUGAAGGCCCUUGGGUUGUAAACUCCUGUCGGCUGGGAAGAAGUCGUUCGCGGUUAAUACCCGCGGACGUUGACUGUACCAGCAAAGGAAGCCCCGGCUAACUCUGUGCCAGCAGCCGCGGUAAUACAGAGGGGGCCAGCGUUAUUCGGAAUUAUUGGGCGUAAAGGGCGCGUAGGCGGCCAUGCGUGUCUUCCGUGAAAUCCCUCGGCUCAACCGAGGACGUGCGGAAGAAACUGCAAGGCUCGAGUCCAGAAGAGGGGGGCGGAAUUCCCAGUGUAGCGGUGAAAUGCGUAGAUAUUGGGAGGAACACCGGUGGCGAAGGCGGCCCCCUGGGCUGGUACUGACGCUGAUGCGCGAAAGCGUGGGUAGCAAACGGGAUUAGAUACCCCGGUAGUCCACGCCGUAAACGAUGGGCACUUGGUGUCGCGGGUAUCGACCCCUGCGGUGCCGAAGCUAACGCAUUAAGUGCCCCGCCUGGGGAGUACGGUCGCAAGGCUGAAACUCAAAUGAAUUGACGG
rnacentral:rRNA from 1 species